AUUGAACGCUGGCGGCAUGCCUUACACAUGCAAGUCGAACGGUAACGCGGGGCAACCUGGCGACGAGUGGCGAACGGGUGAGUAAUGUAUCGGAACGUGCCCAAUCGUGGGGGAUAGCCCGGCGAAAGCCGGAUUAAUACCGCAUGAGACCUGAGGGUGAAAGCGGGGGAUGGCAAGGCCUCGCGCUGUUGGAGCGGCUGAUAUCAGAUUAGGUAGGUGGUGGGGUAAAGGCCUACCAAGCCUGCGAUCUGUAGCUGGUCUGAGAGGAUGCCCAGCCACACUGGGACUGAGACACGGCCCAGACUCCUACGGGAGGCAGCAGUGGGGAAUUUUGGACAAUGGGCGCAAGCCUGAUCCAGCCAUGCCGCGUGCGGGAAGAAGGCCUUCGGGUUGUAAACCGCUUUUGUCAGGGAAGAAAUCUUCUGGGUUAAUACCUCGGGAGGAUGACGGUACCUGAAGAAUAAGCACCGGCUAACUACGUGCCAGCAGCCGCCGUAAUAC
rnacentral:rRNA from 1 species